GACGAACGCUGGCGGCGUGCUUAACACAUGCAAGUCGAACGGAAAGGCCCUGCUUUUGUGGGGUGCUCGAGUGGCGAACGGGUGAGUAACACGUGAGUAACCUGCCCUUGACUUUGGGAUAACUUCAGGAAACUGGGGCUAAUACCGGAUAGGAGCUCCUGCUGCAUGGUGGGGGUUGGAAAGUUUCGGCGGUUGGGGAUGGACUCGCGGCUUAUCAGCUUGUUGGUGGGGUAGUGGCUUACCAAGGCUUUGACGGGUAGCCGGCCUGAGAGGGUGACCGGCCACAAUGGGACUGAGGUACGGCCCAGACUGCUACGGGAGGCAGCAGUGGGGAAUAUUGCACAAUGGGCGGAAGCCUGAUGCAGAAACGCCGCGUGCGGGAUGACGGCCUUCGGGUUGUAAACCGCUUUCGCCUGUGACGAAGCGUGAGUGACGGUAAUGGGUAAAGAAGCACCGGCUAACUACGUG
rnacentral:rRNA from 1 species